UUAGGAAUAUUGGACAAUGGGGGAAACCCUGAUCCAGCCAUGCCGCGUGUGUGAAGAAGGCCUUAGGGUUGUAAAGCACUUUCGGCUGUGAAGAUAAUGACAGUAGCAGAAGAAGAAGCUCCGGCUAAAUUCGUGCCAGCAGCCGCGGUAAUACGAAUGGAGCGAGCGUUGUUCGGAAUCACUGGGCGUAAAGCGUGCGCAGGCGGUCUUGAAAGUCAGAAGUGAAAGCCCAGGGCUCAACCCUGGAAUUGCUUUUGAAACUCCAAGACUAGAGUACUGGAGGGGUUGGCGGAAUUUCGAGUGUAGCAGUGAAAUGCGUAGAUAUUCGAAGGAACACCGAUGGCGUAGGCAGCCAACUGGACAGUUACUGACGCUCAUGCACGAAAGCGUGGGGAUCAAACA
rnacentral:rRNA from 2 species